rnacentral:rRNA from 1 species
UGGGGAAUAUUGGACAAUGGGCGAAAGCCUGAUCCAGCCAUGCCGCGUGUGUGAAGAAGGUCUUCGGAUUGUAAAGCACUUUAAGUUGGGAGGAAGGGCAGUAAGCAAAUACCUUGCUGUUUUGACGUUACCGACAGAAUAAGCACCGGCUAACUCUGUGCCAGCAGCCGCGGUAAUACAGAGGGUGCAAGCGUUAAUCGGAAUUACUGGGCGUAAAGCGCGCGUAGGUGGUUCGUUAAGUUGAAUGUGAAAGCCCCGGGCUCAACCUGGGAACUGCAUCCAAAACUGGCGAGCUAGAGUAGGGCAGAGGGUGGUGGAAUUUCCUGUGUAGCGGUGAAAUGCGUAGAUAUAGGAAGGAACACCAGUGGCGAAGUCGACCACCUGGGCUCAUACUGACACUGAGGUGCGAAAGCGUGGGGAUCAAACAGG